rnacentral:rRNA from 1 species
UACGUAGGCAGCGAGCGUUGUUCGGAGUUACUGGGCGUAAAGGGUGUGUAGGCGGUUGUUUAAGUUUGGUGUGAAAUCUCCCGGCUCAACUGGGAGGGUGCGCCGAAUACUGAAUGACUAGAGUGCGGGAGAGGAAAGUGGAAUUCCUGGUGUAGCGGUGAAAUGCGUAGAUAUCAGGAGGAACACCGAUGGCGAAGGCAGAUCUCUGGGCCAUUACUGACGCUGAGGAGCGAAAGCGUGGGGAGCAAACAGG